AACUUUAAUUUCUUUUCGCCUGAAGAAAGAAAGACAUGAACAUCUUGGAUGACAUGGGGGUGUCAGGAAGAGGAUUGUAUGGUGCAUCACACUGGACAGCAACUAAAGAACUGGCCAAGAAGCAAACUGAAUGUGAGGGGUAGUACCAUGUAUUUUAAGUAUGUAAUAAUAAGAAAUAAUAUGUACUUUGAGUGCAUUUUUUUUUAAGUAUAGUCAAGUAUAGUGGGGCCUACCAGGAAGGAGCUGGGUCAACUAUUGGUGAGGAAGUGGAGCAAGUGAACAGCUUCCUAUCUAGAACUGCUGUUACAAGCAAAUACAUGUCAAAAUCAGGUAUUAAUGCAGAAUUACUUUUGUUAUAUACACACCUCUCAUUGUCUUUUCUUAUAUUUCUGUCAUAGGCCAAGCAGACAUGAUUACACUGCAAGCUAUGUUGUGGAACAAGCGGGAGAUUCUCAAUUUGGGACAAGCGCUGGUUAACAGAUCUUUCAAGAAUCGGCUCCAUUUCUCACCAAGAGGAAGGUGUUUGAUAAGGUGAUGGCAGUGAGACACCUCCAGGAAGAGAGAGGUCUAAUUUGUAAGGAGAUGAAACAGCACUGGAUGGUCCCGACACACAAGAUGUCCAAAUUCGAAGCACUGAUUAAUGAGAUCAGCUCAAAAUGUAAGAAAGUCUUAGAAAAUUUAUUAGAUGUAAAAAAAAAAUAUUUUUCCUUUUGUUUUUCAGCUCUUUCUCCAACCCUGUCUGACAUUGCAUGCAAAGGUCUCCUCUGCAUUGUUCGAAAGAAACAUUAUGAACUUUAAACCUUUAACAGUUGGUAAAGGCAGGCUAUGUGAAAAUUUUCAGCCAACGAGAUUUGAUGUCUGAAGAAGAGAAGCUUGAACAGGAAGAUGACCUGCAAGACGAAGAGCUCUCAGAAAGCGUCAACAGCUCAGAUGACGAACAUGAUUUUCCUUAAUAAGGGACAUUUAAGCUGGGUUCAAACUGUAUGAUUUUGGCCACAAGAUUCCUCUGAUCUUUGCCAAAAAUCUGUAGUCUUUGAUCACUAGUUUAUGUUCACCAACAGCCGAUUAAUGACCGUUGCGAUCAAAAUUGACCUCAAAUGAAAUUCUUGCCGUGUCAGAAAAUUUGACUUACAGUCCUGCAGUGUGACUUCUCCUACGAUGACCAGAUUGUCUUUAUUUUUCAAGACAUGCUGUGAUCCCACAGUGUGACAUGAGGAUCAUGUUCGUACAGUCUGACAGGCAACAUUUGUAAAUGACUCUUAUAAAUCAUACAGUGUGCACCCGGCUUUAGAAUAAAUUACACAAUUCUGUAAAUGCAAAACCCAAAAAACAAUAAUUCCACAUGAAUGGGAACGUGAAUCAUACUUUGCCUUUAAAUGUCACAUAGAGCAAUUAGAUCAGAAGACUUGUUUGUCUUUUUGAUGUUUAUUGUGUCAACUUUUCUGUAACUGCCUGAUGCCAGUGUGUCUUUAAUAACAAUAACCUAUUAAAUUCCAUGUGGCUAAUUACACAUCUAACACAACUACUUUGAUGAUUAUGAUCAAUGGAGCUGUCUACACUUGAAAGAUCCAGUUAUGCAGUUUACAUUCAGUGUGUAUUUUUUUACACUUGGGACUUAUUGUACUUGUCCAAACUAAGUAAAAUGUAGUCCAAAAAUGUGUAUAAAUACUCUAAAUGAUUUAUUCACACAAAUAACUAUAAAAAAAUAUUGCAUAUGCAAAAAAUGUCAGUAUGUACUGCACAAAAAAUGCAUCAUGGAUACAUUGCACUUUUUAAAAAUUAUUAAUUUAAAAAUAUAUAUUUUUUUGAUAAAUCAAUUAGGAAGAUUUACAAACUCAUGAGUUAUUAGUUUUAAUAAUUACAAUAAUUUAUUUAGUCUAACAAAUGAUUUGCUGAAUCCGAGAAAUUUGUUAAACAUGAUGAUAUAUCUGUCUUAUUGAAUAGAAAAUGUAUUCUAAAAUCGGUAUAGCUGAUUUGGGGUGCAUAUAACAUCCAAAAGCUUUUUAAAUAAUUAUUUGAAUAUUUGCAUAAUAUUUAAUAUCUGUACAAUAUUUGACAAACACCAGGGUGAUGAUCCCUUGAUCGUUUUGAGUUGAGGGAAAUAUGAUGUGUCCUCCUAGAUUGUAUGAAUGUGUUCAGUCCUGGUAUGUAAAGCAGUUUGGCCAACGUGUUGUUUUUAAAUGUGCUACAUAAAUAAACUGAUUCAUUGAUUGA